CCGGAGGUCACUGCUAUUGGGGUUCGGCUAAGCCAUGCAAGCGGAGGGCGCGGUCGCAAGAUCGUGGCCCCGCACACGGCUCAGUAACACGUAGUUAACCUACCCUUGGGACGGGGACAACGCCGGGAAACUGGCGAUAAUCCCCGAUAGGUGAGGGACGCUGGGAUGCUUCCUCGCUCAAAGCUCCGGCGCCCGAGGAUGGGACUGCGGCCUAUCAGGCUGUUGGUGGUGUGACGGACCACCAAACCUACGACGGGUACGGGCGAUGGGAGUCGGAGCCCGGAGAUGGGGACUGAGACAAGGCCCCAGGCCCUACGGGGCGCAGCAGCCGCG
rnacentral:rRNA from 1 species